UACGGGGGGGGGCAAGCGUUGUUCGGAAUUACUGGGCGUAAAGGGCUCGUAGCGGCCAACUAAGUCAGACGUGAAAUCCCCCAGGCUCAACCUGGGAACUGCGUCUGAUACUGGAUGGCUUGAAUCCGGGAGAGGGGUGCAGAAUUCCAGGUGUAGCGGUGAAAUGCGUAGAUAUCUGGAGGAAUACCGGGUGGCGAAGGCGCAUCCUGGACCGGCAUUGACGCUGAGGAGCGAAAGCCAGGGGAGCAAACAGG
rnacentral:rRNA from 1 species